GAUCUGGGUUCCUUUGUAGUGUAUGUACCCAGCAGGGUUGCUGUAAGUACAGGGCCCUGGACCCUCUUAGCACCUUCCAGGGGAAAACGCCCCGUCUGUGCGAGUCACAAAGGCGCCCGUUCCGGGGUUCCGAGAACGCCCGGACGUGAGAAUGGGGGUUGGCUCAAAGCAGCCGCACAGCAAUCAGUCCUCCUGGCGCCGUCGGACACGCAGCUGCAGUGGCCGUUGGACACGCGGUGGGAGCUGUCCUGCAGGGCGUCCCUGGUAUCGCAGAGAGAGAAAGGAGCACUUGCUAGCUUUGACCUUCCUGGAUACAAUGUCUGAGCAGAGCGAAAGCAC